rnacentral:rRNA from 1 species
AGUGAACGCUGGCGGCAGGCCUAAUACAUGCAAGUCGAACGGCAGCACGGCAGAGCUUGCUCUGUGGGUGGCGAGUGGCGGACGGGUGAGGAAUACAUGGGAAUCUGCCCAGUCGUGGGGGAUAACGUAGGGAAACUUACGCUAAUACCGCAUGCGCCCUUCGGGGGAAAGCCGGGGACCUUCGGGCCUGGCGCGAUUGGAUGAGCCCAUGUCGGAUUAGCUAGUUGGCGGGGUAAAGGCCCACCAAGGCGACGAUCCGUAGCUGGUCUGAGAGGAUGAUCAGCCACACUGGAACUGAGACACGGUCCAGACUCCUACGGGAGGCAGCAGUGGGGAAUAUUGGACAAUGGGCGCAAGCCUGAUCCCGCCAUGCCGCGUGAGUGAAGAAGGCCUUCGGGUUGUAAAGCUCUUUUGUCCGGAAAGAAAAGCCUUCGGUUAAUACCCGGGGGUGAUGACGGUACCGGAAGAAUAAGCACCGGCUAACUUCGUGCCAGCCGCCGCAGUAACAC